CGGAAUCUGCCUAUUUGUGGGGGAUAACGUAGGGAAACUUACGCUAAUACCGCAUACGACCCACGGGUGAAAGCGGAGGACCUUCGGGCUUCGCGCAGAUAGAUGAGCCGAUGUCGGAUUAGCUAGUUGGCGGGGUAAAGGCCCACCAAGGCGACGAUCCGUAGCUGGUCUGAGAGGAUGAUCAGCCACACUGGAACUGAGACACGGUCCAGACUCCUACGGGAGGCAGCAGUGGGGAAUAUUGGACAAUGGGCGCAAGCCUGAUCCAGCCAUGCCGCGUGGGUGAAGAAGGCCUUCGGGUUGUAAAGCCCUUUUGUUGGGAAAGAAAAGCAGUCGGUUAAUACCCGAUUGUUCUGACGGUACCCAAAGAAUAAGCACCGGCUAACUUCGUGCCAGCAGCCGCGGUAAUACGAAGGGUGCAAGCGUUACUCGGAAUUACUGGGCGUAAAGCGUGCGUAGGUGGUUUGUUAAGUCUGAUGUGAAAGCCCUGGGCUCAACCUGGGAAUUGCAUUGGAUACUGGCAGGCUAGAGUGCGGUAGAGGGUAGUGGAAUUCCCGGU
rnacentral:rRNA from 1 species